UGUGGGAGCGAGCUUGCUCGCGAAAGCGGUGUUUCGGCUUGCAGAAAUGUUGACUGAACUACCGCCAUCGCGAGCAAGCUCGCUCCCACA
rnacentral:misc_RNA from 1 species